UUGAACGCUGGCGGCAGGCCUAACACAUGCAAGUCGAACGGUAACAGGAAACAGCUUGCUGUUUCGCUGACGAGUGGCGGACGGGUGAGUAAUGUCUGGGAAACUGCCUGAUGGAGGGGGAUAACUACUGGAAACGGUAGCUAAUACCGCAUAACGUCGCAAGACCAAAGAGGGGGACCUUCGGGCCUCUUGCCAUCGGAUGUGCCCAGAUGGGAUUAGCUUGUUGGUGGGGUAACGGCUCACCAAGGCGACGAUCCCUAGCUGGUCUGAGAGGAUGACCAGCCACACUGGAACCGAGACACGGUCCAGACUCCUACGGGAGGCAGCAGUGGGGAAUAUUGCACAAUGGGCGCAAGCCUGAUGCAGCCAUGCCGCGUGUAUGAAGAAGGCCUUCGGGUUGUAAAGUACUUUCAGCGGGGAGGAAGGGAGUAAAGUUAAUACCUUUGCUCAUUGACGUUACCCGCAGAAGAAGCACCGGCUAACUCCGUGCCAGCAGCCGCGGUAAUACGGAGGGUGCAAGCGUUAAUCGGAAUUACUGGGCGUAAAGCGCACGCAGGCGGUUUGUUAAGUCAGAUGUGAAAUCCCCGGGCUCAACCUGGGAACUGCAUCUGAUACUGGCAAGCUUGAGUCUCGUAGAGGGGGGUAGAAUUCCAGGUGUAGCGGUGAAAUGCGUAGAGAUCUGGAGGAAUACCGGUGGCGAAGGCGGCCCCCUGGACGAAGACUGACGCUCAGGUGCGAAAGCGUGGGGAGCAAACAGGAUUAGAUACCCUGGUAGUCCACGCCGUAAACGAUGUCGACUUGGAGGUUGUGCCCUUGAGGCGUGGCUUCCGGAGCUAACGCGUUAAGUCGACCGCCUGGGGAGUACGGCCGCAAGGUUAAAACUCAAAUGAAUUGACGGGGGCCCGCACAAGCGGUGGAGCAUGUGGUUUAAUUCGAUGCAACGCGAAGAACCUUACCUGGUCUUGACAUCCACGGAAGUUUUCAGAGAUGAGAAUGUGCCUUCGGGAACCGUGAGACAGGUGCUGCAUGGCUGUCGUCAGCUCGUGUUGUGAAAUGUUGGGUUAAGUCCCGCAACGAGCGCAACCCUUAUCCUUUGUUGCCAGCGGUCCGGCCGGGAACUCAAAGGAGACUGCCAGUGAUAAACUGGAGGAAGGUGGGGAUGACGUCAAGUCAUCAUGGCCCUUACGACCAGGGCUACACACGUGCUACAAUGGCGCAUACAAAGAGAAGCGACCUCGCGAGAGCAAGCGGACCUCAUAAAGUGCGUCGUAGUCCGGAUUGGAGUCUGCAACUCGACUCCAUGAAGUCGGAAUCGCUAGUAAUCGUGGAUCAGAAUGCCACGGUGAAUACGUUCCCGGGCCUUGUACACACCGCCCGUCACACCAUGGGAGUGGGUUGCAAAAGAAGUAGGUAGCUUAACCUUCGGGAGGGCGCUUACCACUUUGUGAUUCAUGACUGGGGUG
rnacentral:rRNA from 1 species